rnacentral:rRNA from 1 species
CAGCCGCCGCGGGAAUACGAAGGGGGCUAGCGUUGCUCGGAAUUACUGGGCGUAAAGCGCACGUAGGCGGAUCGAUCAGUCAGGGGUGAAAUCCCAGGGCUCAACCCUGGAACUGCCUUUGAUACUGUCGAUCUGGAGUAUGGAAGAGGUGAGUGGAAUUCCGAGUGUAGAGGUGAAAUUCGUAGAUAUUCGGAGGAACACCAGUGGCGAAGGCGGCUCACUGGUCCAUUACUGACGCUGAGGUGCGAAAGCGUGGGGAGCAAACAGGAUUAGAUACCCCAGUAGUCCCUGUCUCUUAUAC